rnacentral:rRNA from 1 species
UCUCGGGUGACGAGCGGCGGACGGGUGAGUAAUGUCUGGGAAACUGCCUGAUGGAGGGGGAUAACUACUGGAAACGGUAGCUAAUACCGCAUAAUGUCGCAAGACCAAAGUGGGGGACCUUCGGGCCUCAUGCCAUCAGAUGUGCCCAGAUGGGAUUAGCUAGUAGGUGGGGUAACGGCUCACCUAGGCGACGAUCCCUAGCUGGUCUGAGAGGAUGACCAGCCACACUGGAACUGAGACACGGUCCAGACUCCUACGGGAGGCAGCAGUGGGGAAUAUUGCACAAUGGGCGCAAGCCUGAUGCAGCCAUGCCGCGUGUGUGAAGAAGGCCUUCGGGUUGUAAAGCACUUUCAGCGGGGAGGAAGGCGGUGAGGUUAAUAACCUUGUCGAUUGACGUUACCCGCAGAAGAAGCACCGGCUAACUCCGUGCCAGCAGCCGCGGUAAUACGGAGGGUGCAAGCGUUAAUCGGAAUUACUGGGCGUAAAGCGCACGCAGGCGGUCUGUCAAGUCGGAUGUGAAAUCCCCGGGCUCAACCUGGGAACUGCAUUCGAAACUGGCAGGCUAGAGUCUUGUAGAGGGGGGUAGAAUUCCAGGUGUAGCGGUGAAAUGCGUAGAGAUCUGGAGGAAUACCGGUGGCGAAGGCGGCCCCCUGGACAAAGACUGACGCUCAGGUGCGAAAGCGUGGGGAGCAAACAGGAUUAGAUACCCUGGUAGUCCACGCCGUAAACGAUGUCGAUUUGGAGGUUGUGCCCUUGAGGCGUGGCUUCCGGAGCUAACGCGUUAAAUCGACCGCCUGGGGAGUACGGCCGCAAGGUUAAAACUCAAAUGAAUUGACGGGGGCCCGCACAAGCGGUGGAGCAUGUGGUUUAAUUCGAUGCAACGCGAAGAACCUUACCUGGUCUUGACAUCCACAGAACUUUCCAGAGAUGGAUUGGUGCCUUCGGGAACUGUGAGACAGGUGCUGCAUGGCUGUCGUCAGCUCGUGUUGUGAAAUGUUGGGUUAAGUCCCGCAACGAGCGCAACCCUUAUCCUUUGUUGCCAGCGGUUAGGCCGGGAACUCAAAGGAGACUGCCAGUGAUAAACUGGAGGAAGGUGGGGAUGACGUCAAGUCAUCAUGGCCCUUACGACCAGGGCUACACACGUGCUACAAUGGCAUAUACAAAGAGAAGCGACCUCGCGAGAGCAAGCGGACCUCAUAAAGUAUGUCGUAGUCCGGAUUGGAGUCUGCAACUCGACUCCAUGAAGUCGGAAUCGCUAGUAAUCGUAGAUCAGAAUGCUACGGUGAAUACGUUCCCGGGCCUUGUACACACCGCCCGUCACACCAUGGGA